UCCCCAGUAGCUCAGCGGUAGAGUAGGUGACUGUUAAUCACUUGGUCAUUGGUUCGAAUCCAGUCUGGGGAG
rnacentral:tRNA from 1 species